GGAAGAAUAUGAACAUGAAAUUGGUAUUGAAUAUACCACACUCACCCCUAGAAGGAGGUUUGAGAUGAUAUAUGAAAAUAAUGUCAUUGCUAUGGCAUGAAUAGUCAAUGGUCACGUACCUAUUGUACGCCAAAAUAAUUUGCCAAUGUGAUUAUCAAAGGACAACGAUAAUGCAAGAAACAUAUCUUGCAUAUAAUUUUUACCAUGACCAUAAUGGUAUAACUUUCUCUUUAAAAGAGAUAUUC
rnacentral:lncRNA from 1 species